rnacentral:rRNA from 1 species
UACGGGGGGGGUAAGCGUUGUUCGGAAUUAUUGGGCGUAAAGAGCGCGUAGGCGGUCCGGUAAGUCGGCUGUGAAAGUCAAGGGCUCAACCCUUGAAAGCCGGCCGAUACUGUCGGACUAGAGUCCGGAAGAGGCGAGUGGAAUUCCCGGUGUAGCGGUGAAAUGCGCAGAUAUCGGGAGGAACACCAGUGGCGAAGGCGGGUCUCUGGACAGUUCCUGACGCUGAGGCACGAAGGUCAGGGGAGCAAACGGG